rnacentral:rRNA from 1 species
UACGGGGGGGCAAGCGUUGUUCGGAAUUACUGGGCGUAAAGGGCGCGUAGGCGGCGUGGUAAGUCAGUUGUGAAAUCUCCGAGCUUAACUCGGAACGGCCAACUGAUACUGCUGUGCUAGAGUGCAGAAGGGGCAAUCAGAAUUCUUGGUGUAGCGGUGGAAAUGCGUAGAUAUCAAGAGGAAUACCCAGGAGGUGAAGACGGGUUGCUAGGCUGACACUGACGCUGAGGCGCGAAAGCCAGGGGAGCAAACGGG